UGCACGUCUGUGUGCUGGAAAUGUGGAC
rnacentral:piRNA from 1 species